GGAGAGAUGGCUGAGUGGACUAAAG
rnacentral:ncRNA from 2 species